ensembl:Y_RNA Y_RNA Y RNA
GGCUGGUCCAAUGGCAGUGGGUUAUCAGAACUUACUACUGGCAUUCACGUUGCUAUUCAACCCCCCACUGCUAAAUUUGACUGGCUUAAA